rnacentral:lncRNA from 1 species
UAGCUUGCUAGGUGGGUGAAUAAAUGCUUUGGGUGAAAAUCAUCUAUUUCAUCAUCAUUUGAAAUGGAAAAAGCAUGUUUCCUUCUCUUCAGACAAAAUGCAUAAUGGAGUUUGGGGAAAUUGGGAGAGAGAGCACAUCCAGUAAUCUUCCUGGCAAGAUAAUGUCUGAUGGCAAAACAGAAACAAGCUGCAAGGCUCAAACAAUAAAAACCCCAACUGUGCAAUUCAUACUCUAAGAAACAGCUGGGGAAAAUAGCAGAGAAAGAGAAGACAGCCCACCCAACAGGCCUGAACCAAGACCAUGAGUGAGAUUCUUAAACUGCGAAGGAGGAACGUGGGAGCAUGAUGGGUUGGGGACGACACAGAAAAGCAGCAAGUUCACACCGUGCCCGAUAACCUGGUGCCACAGCUGCAACAGGAUGAAGUAAGGUGAGACACCAGUUUCAGAAGGGCUACUUUUUUGGCUUUAGCAAGGAUGGCUUGCAUACAAUUUAGUGAGUUUGGUCAAAUGCAUGGAUUCAUAUCAUCAUCAUCACAUUACAAAUAUCAAUAUGCC